CUCACAUGCAUGAAAAAGAAGGGAGAACUGUUAGUAAAGCAACAAAGGAGUUCCAUGCCCUUGGGAUUGUGUCCCUGUUCCCAUCUUUGAAAGACCCAUACUCUAAAAAAGGAUAUGAACAUUUCUAUGACAUUCAGAGCAACAAAGGCUUUCUUGAGUGGCGUAUAAAGACCGUGCAACGUAAAUCCAGAACCACCUCUGCAUCACAGA